rnacentral:rRNA from 1 species
UACGUAGGGUGCAAGCGUUUGUCCGGAAUUAUUGGGCGUAAAGAGCUCGUAGGCGGUUUGUUGCGUCGGCUGUGAAAUCCCGAGGCUCAACCUCGGGUCUGCAGUCGAUACGAGCAAACUAGAGUGUUGCAGGGGAGACUGGAAUUCCUGGUGUAGCGGUGAAAUGCGCAGAUAUCAGGAGGAACACCGGUGGCGAAGGCGGGUCUCUGGGCAACAACUGACGCUGGAGGAGCGAAAGCGUGGGGGAGCAAACAGG